GAUCAAGAGAACAAGGGCACAC
rnacentral:rRNA from 1 species